GGGGAUGUUCCGGUUUCGACUGGUACGGUUCGCUUUGUAAGUUGCAGGUGGAGCGCCGAUCUCCUAACCUUGGCAAAACAUUUAACUGCCAACAAUGACAGUUACGAUUACGCCUUAGCUGCGUAACCGCGUGGGCCCGUUCCGCCGCCUUGAGGGACGAAGCCCGCGUCGCAAUCAGGGCUGGCCAAGUAGGGUUUUCGGGACCUAUGCGGCGAGAAACACCCGGAAUACGGACGUUCUGCCUGCCGCGAAGCAAAGGACGCCCCGACAAUUAAAUCCGCGGCUAAACCUGUAGAUGCUUGCAGGGUGCGUAUUAGGACGCGGGUUCAACUCCCGCCAUCUCCA
rnacentral:tmRNA from 1 species